rnacentral:lncRNA from 1 species
AAUAAUGAAUGGUAUGACUAGCUAUAGCUGUAAAUUUUGUGAGUAAUGAAUGACCUGCCUAGUUAGCUUUAGCUAGUCAGUAGUACCGUCCUUUCUCAGUUUUGUUUUGAACCAUACAUUGUAUUGUGGAUAGCUAUUUAGAAUUAUACUUAAAAACUGUACGGUAGUGGAUGUUGUAAGAUAGUACAGUAGACCAUAAAAGAACAAUCUUAUAAGGCAAAGAACAAUCUCAUGGUUGACUACAUAACACAG